GCUCCGGUAGCCUAUGCGGUUAGAACGUCCACAUCAGAUGCGGAAGGUCUCGGCUUCGAACCCCGACUGAGACG